CGCCUCAUAGUUGAGGAAGAUGAUGUGCAACCAAUGAAGAAGAUAUAUUAGGAUGGAACUCGAGGCAUUUUGUGGAUUAGUAUCUAUAGUUUUUUGAUGCCUAUAAAGCAGAGCCAAGCCGCCGCCUCUCCGCCGAGAAAGAAGGAUCCCGAUCUCCGCCGUGGUCGACAAACAGCGCGAUGGGCGGAGCACCCAGCCGGUAGGCUCAUCCCUUCUCCGAUCCACUCCGGCGGCGGCCAUCGUUGGAAAGAGAUGCAGACGAGAGGAAGAGAGCCUCCCCAAGCUCUGUCUAGGCGAUGCACGAGCGACAACCACCCUUCCUGUUAUUGCCUCCAUGGCUGGCUGCUCAUCCCCAGGAACCUCCUCCCCUCUCACGUGCGCCACACUCUGGGAUUAAGUUGGAACAUAGGUAUCUAGGGCAGGGCGUGGUCACAUUGCAGGCAGCAAGGAGCAGCGCAAAGUUGUCUCGGCCUUGCCCUGCAUCGAGGAGGAACACAGCUUCCCCUCCUCUCGAUCCACCCCUCCCGCUGCGACCUCUCUCUUCCCUCGUCUCCCGCUCCACCGCCGCCGCCCCAUCUCCCGCUCCAUCGCCGCCGCCCCAUCUCCCGUCUCCAGUCGCAGCCGCCGCCGCACCCCAAUCCAACACCGCCGUCGGCAAUCUCCUCGCCCCCCUGCGCCGCCGCCCCCAACCUUCUAUUCCUCUCCCAAGGGAAUCCCAAGGGAAGUGAAGGGAAGGGAAGGGAAGGCAAGGGAAGGGAAGGGAAGGAAGAGGGAGCGCCCAGAUCCACGGCGGCAUCAGCGCGCCGUCAUCGACCUGAUCCGCGUCCGUCCUCGAGGGAGGUCGGCCAUGGAGGUCCGACCCGGCCCGGCAGAAGCCAUGGACGGACGGAGACGCCCCAAACCCUACCCUCAAGGACGACGCCUCAACCUUCAAGGACGCGCGCCGGCGACCGCGGAUCUCCGGUGACGGCUAUGGUGAGUGUGUACCUGCGGACGUUCUUCCUCGGAUUCAUCAUCUCCCCCUGCUCGUGAUUCCUUCCUUGGUUUCUUUUAUUUUGUGUGCGGGAUGACUGCCCCGGAUCUGGACGCAUGACCUGCAGCUGCGGCAGCAGCUGGACGACCGAACGCACGAGCCCUCCCUCCCUCCCUCAUGGCUCUGCUUCUUCCUACCCUGCCCCCUCACGUUGGCGUGGUCCCACAAAUAGAAGCGUUGCUCAUAUGCUCCUGAAUCAGGUGUGCAGUAUGAUGGAGUUUACAGAAUUGAGAACUGUUAGAUAAAGAUUGGCGUUCAGGUAAUUUUACUUCCUGUACAGAGGUUCCACAUGCUGCUCUCUACUUUGUGCCACUGAAUGAAAGAUCAAUUUAUAUUCUUUUGAUUUCUGUCACAGGGUACGUAUAAGGUCUUGAUGUUAAGCUGAUGUAUUUUUUAUUGCUUACUAAACCCUCCUAAGUCCUAACUCAACCACUUGAAGUUAAACUGAAGUAUUAAUCAAUCUUGUUUGCUUUCUUGUACGUGUAUGCCUAAUUACCUUGCCCUAUAUGGCGAUCGAUGGCCAGCCAUAGAACGGUUCUGAUUUUUUAUUUAUUUUGUCAAGUUCAGUUCAUAUUUUUUAUCCAUGUGGUGUUUAAACGAUGACUAUGUGGGGUUCAUAGAAAUUGUGAGGCAUAGGAUUGAUUCAAUCUUCAUUUUUUUUCCAAUUUGGUUCAGAGCUAUUACCUGCUACACCUACAGAUGUGAAAAGCUUACACUUUGCAAAUCCAAAAUUAAGCAGCAUAAUUUCUCACAGAUUAAUUAUAUACAAAUUGAGUGACAACUGCUGGGACAUGUGCUUCUUUUGACCUAUUAUCUUGCUUUUGCAUGAUUAAUUGAAGGUCCAUAAGGCAGUUCUAUCUCUCUCGCUAACACAAUAAGUUUCUCUUUAACAAAAAAAUAAACAUAGGGCAGGAGCAUAGAUGGUGCACAGGAGAGCUGCCUUGUCAUUGAUAGAGGAAGUGUGAGAGCAUGCUAAUUGUGCAGGGAAGAGAAAUAAAAUGAAAACGAAAACGAAAAUGAGAAACAAAAGAGAAGAAUGUUAUGAUCUCAUGAUAAUGUCGGCCACCAGCCAGCACCCACAGGAGUAUACCUAUAGGCGGUCCAAAGAUUAUCUAGCUAGGUUGGUAAAAAGCAAGGCCGCCUCAUAGUUGAGGAAGAUGAUGUGCAACCAAUGACGAAGAUAUAUUAGGAUGGAACUCGAGGCAUUUUGUGGAUUAGUAUCUAUAGUUUUUUGAUGCCUAUAAAGCAGAGCCAAGCCGCCGCCUCUCCGCCGAGAAAGAAGGAUCCCGAUCUCCGCCGUGGUCGACAAACAGCGCGAUGGGCGGAGCACCCAGCCGGUAGGCUCAUCCCCUUCUCCGAUCCACUCCGGCGGCGGCCAUCGUUGGAAAGAGAUGCAGACGAGAGGAAGAGAGCCUCCCCAAGCUCUGUCUAGGCGAUGCACGAGCGACAACCACCCUUCCUGUUAUUGCCUCCAUGGCUGGCUGCUCAUCCCCAGGAACCUCCUCCCCUCUCACGUGCGCCACACUCUGGGAUUAAGG